ACCUACGGGGGGCAGCAGUGAGGAGUAUUGGUCAAUGGGCGAGAGCCUGAACCAGCCAAGUCGCGUGAGGGAAGACGGUCCUAUGGAUUGUAAACCUCUUUUGUCGGGGAGCAAGGCCCGCCACGUGUGGCGGGAAGGAGAGUACCCGAAGAAAAAGCAUCGGCUAACUCCGUGCCAGCAGCCGCGGUAAUACGGAGGAUGCGAGCGUUAUCCGGAUUUAUUGGGUUUAAAGGGUGCGUAGGCG
rnacentral:rRNA from 1 species